rnacentral:rRNA from 1 species
AUGAACGCUGGCGGCGUGCCUAAUACAUGCAAGUCGAGCGAACGGACGAGAAGCUUGCUUCUCUGAUGUUAGCGGCGGACGGGUGAGUAACACGUGGAUAACCUACCUAUAAGACUGGGAUAACUUCGGGAAACCGUAGCUAAUACCGGAUAAUAUUUUGAACCGCAUGGUUCAAAAGUGAAAGACGGUCUUGCUGUCACUUAUAGAUGGAUCCGCGCUGCAUUAGCUAGUUGGUAAGGUAACGGCUUACCAAGGCAACGAUGCAUAGCCGACCUGAGAGGGUGACCGGCCACACUGGAACUGAGACACGGUCCAGACUCCUACGGGAGGCAGCAGUAGGGAAUCUUCCGCAAUUGGCGAUAGCCUGACGGAGCAACACCGCGUGAGUGAUGAAGGUCUUCGGAUCGUAAAACUCUGUUAUUAGGGGAGAACAUAUGUGUAAGUAACUGUGCACAUCUUGACGGUACCUAAUCAGAAAGCCACGGCUAACUACGUG